GACAGAGGGUGCUAGCGUUGUUCGGAAUGACUGGGCGUAAAGGGCGCGUAGGCGGUUUUUCAAGUCAGAUGUGAAAGCCCCGGGCUUAACCUGGGAACUGCAUUUGAUACUGGAUGACUGGAGUACGAGAGAGGAAAGCGGAAUUCCUAGUGUAGAGGUGAAAUUCGUAGAUAUUAGGAGGAACACCAGAGGCGAAGGCGGCUUUCUGGCUCGUAACUGACGCUGAGGCGCGAAAGCGUGGGGAGCAAACAGG
rnacentral:rRNA from 1 species